CUGUACUGGUGAAAAGGAUGGAAUGAAAGAUGUAGGAGCAAGGUAGACCCAGAAGAUGGCGGUAAUGCAACGUAACGGAUGCCAACCGCCGUAAAACUCCGAAGAAGAAGAAGAACCAUACACGCGCCAGUAAGAGAAAGAACUGUAAGAUGCACCCCUCUAUUUUGAGUGACGAAGCCAGUCUGGGGCACAUAACCCUUUCACCAUCCGAGUUUAGGUGUCCUCUCUGUCCCAAAUUUAAAACCAAAAAUGAGAACGCGAUCCAGAGGCACAUGAAAAACCAUAUGGAAAAUGCAGUUCAUUUCCAUG